UCUGGUGGUGAUGCGUCUGAGGGAAACACCCGUUCCCAUCCCGAACACGAUGGUUAAGCCUUGGACGGCCGAUGGUACUGCACUGGAGACGGUGUGGGAGAGUAGGUGGCUGCCAGAA
rnacentral:rRNA from 1 species